AAAUCCUGAGGAUACAACUGUGAUCAAAACAGCCUACCCUGGCUUAUCCAUUGCACUCCGGAUGUGCUGACCCAUGUGAUUUCCCCAAAUGUGGGAAACUUGACUGCAUAAUUUGUGGUAGUGGGGGACUGCAUUCGAGGAAAAAAAAAAACAGCCUAU
rnacentral:snRNA from 1 species